CCUUUGGUCAAAUUUUCGUUUUAAUUGUGCCUCAUGAUUGUUUAUCUUUAUUUGAAUUUCAAUUUUACUCAGCUUUGAAUAUGUGUCUCUACAGUCGAAUUCUUUUACUCGGUGUAAAGUUAAGCCAAAAAUGUAUCAACUCAGCUUAUUUUUUCAAUUAUCUCGCUUAAGUUCGUUUUAAUCAUCGCCUACGUACUUUUAUGACUUGAUAAGGCAUUUGGAUGGAUUGAAUACGCUUAUUUGCGUCUAGUUUUUUUUUCUCACAAGGCCUAAAAAGAUUUGUAUUCGUCUCCCAUUAUCCGAAAGAUCAACGAAACUAUUGCCUUUGGGGUUAAGAUAAUUGUUUACCCUUCCAAUAUCCUAAUAUGCUUAUCGGUUAUUUGUUAAGCAUUAGCCACACCAUUGAGAAUGGAUGAAUAUUUCAUCUCAAUUGAGAAAUACUUCAAGGAAAAGAUAAGAAAUUGAAAGAUGUUGAUCGAUCAAAUUUCCGGCUUUUGGUCCGUUACAUCUGGAAAAGAAUGAGCUCCAGUCUCAGUCAUUCGUCUUUCCUCCAAACGAUUACGUUUCCUACGAGUGUUUGGCGUUUCGGAUAACAUGCGUUUCAAUUUUGGGCCUGUUCUUGAGCUUUUCUUCAUAGUUAAACUAGCCGAUAAACCAGGAGAUUUUAUCCUUGGACCCGGGACCGAUAAAGCUGUACCCAGAGCUUGUUUUUUACGCACUUGAACCAUUCCGUACAUGACUUCAGCCAGACUAUUCUGUGUGUUAUUUUGCUUGCCAAAUGAUUUUGAUCUCUCAAUCUUUUUACCCGUUACAUAAAAGGUUUCCAUUUCACCUUUACCCUUUACUGGAAUCACACCUCGAUACUGAACACGAUAACCUUCAUCUUCCAGAAUUUCAGCUGCGGCCCUUGGAACCUGAAAAUAGAGAACAUAUUUUUGAUAAAUUUAGCUUUUCAAUCAUAUGCAGCAAUUAGAGUCAAACAAUUACUUGAAUAUGAUCGAGUUGACCAGUUGAAUCCAUUCUGCUAGCUUCGUUAACUGUAUUACCCCAAAUAUCAAAGACUGGCUUUUUAGCACCGAUAACACCUCCAACUAAAGGACCAAAGCUGAUUCCUGCAAGGUAAUAAAAUACGAAAAUUCUGAUAACAAGUAAAGCUGCAAUCAAGUGUUAUUCAGUAAAAAGCUGAAUAAAAUAUUUACAGUGGUGAACAUUAAUUUCGCAUUACCAUCAACCAGAUUUACUAUCAAAACCAGCUAAUUAUUUGACACAAAUAGAUCAAAAACAAUUGGAAGGAUUGAAAUGCAACCAAUAUCGGAUCAAACAAAUAUCUAAAGCAGGAGAACCCGGGUUGGAACAUAGAUGUCAAUUAUAAGCAAGAAGAUGAUGAUGACCGUAAUCAAGAUUUCAGCAUAGAAGGAUAGGAACAAAAAUUUAAGCUAGAAUUUCAAAUUGAAAAUUAACUUCGAUUUGAUCAUCAUAACUAAUGGUCAUUAUAAUACUUAUCAUAGAUAUUACCAUUAGCUAUUUCAUUUCACCUUUCACUUGUUCAACAUAUCGUAUGUUUCUGAUGAUUCGGUUUUUGAAUAGUAUUAUGCCAAGAAUGAUGUUAGGAGAAAAGUAUUUAAGUAUUUUUCUCAUCAUUAUUGGCAUUAUUUUAUAUACUAGCGUAGCUAUUGAUCAGCAUUUUUAUUAGAAUCAUUGGUAACAAGAUUGAGUAAAUUACAUUCAAAAGCAGAAAAAAUUCCCUCACAUAUGAAAUUAAGAAAAGUUUGAGCUUACAGAAACAUCGUUAAUGUUGAUUACAAGUAAAGUGUUAUUCAGUAGAUGUUAUUGUUUAAUUACUUCUUAGCUGAAGUUACAAUAAGCUUAGUCAGUAUAUUGACUAUAACAUCCAAUACCUUUAUCCAUUCCUUAUUAUCCAUAUUAUUAACAUGAUAAACACCAACAUCAUCAUUCUCAUCAUCAUCAAUGUUUACAUUCAAAUCGAGAUCAAUAAUAACAUUAUAAUGAAGCCAGAGUAAAAUGACAGUAAAUACAACAAAUAAAGGCAACAACAUUCACCAACAUCAUCAUCAGGAAUAACAAUAAAAAAACAACCAGGACAAACCUUGAACAGCCAGGACAAAAGAUCAAUCAUCACCAGGAGAUUGAAAUUAAAUUAAACAAAUUGACCCAUUAUAACCCAAAAAUAAGCGAUGAACAAAAGACAAAAGUAAACCAUUGAAAAGGUCAACGGAAAAGGUUUUCAAGCUUUAUUCAAGUCAAAAGAUUCCAUGAGACUCCAUUACAUUAUCCCCGCCAUCAUCAUCACCCUUAACCUUGCCAAAAAUAAUUACCUCAUGAAAUCCAAAAGAGACUGGAGUAAAAACAUUCCUUAACAUAUGACUUGGUAAAGGUUAAGAAAAGGUUAAGGAAGAAAUGUUUAUCUGUUUUGGAAAUUAAAUUCAAGUCAAGGUGAAAAUGAUGUCAAGACUUGUCUUCAUCUUUCCAUCAUUUCAAUAAUAACCUUUGAAUUUGAAAAUUUGAUUGAGAAGACGAGAUGGUUAAAAGAUGUAAUUGCAUUGAAAGUAAUUCAAUUAAUUUAAGUUGAAUUAAAUCUUUCAAUAGUAAACUAAUCAUAAGCUUCAUCAAAUUUAACUGUUCAACUGGAUAAUGUUUAACCAGAAAACCUCAAUUUAACAGUGCAUGUUAAACAAUUUGUUAAACAAUCUGGUUCAUAAAGCAGCUUGUGUAACAACAAGAACCCAAAACCAAUAUGUAUUACAGCCUAAAGAAACUAACCAAUGUUUAAUUUUGCCAACAAUCAGUUCCAACAGUUUAAUGUUAACCAACAAUACCAUUUGGUUUUUUUCAUUUUAAUCAUUUAAUCCAUCUAAAUAAUCAACUUGCUAUUAACCUGAAUCAAAUUGUGAGCUUGACAAAACAAAAUAACACAAAAUAAAAAUCAAAAUGAUGCCAAUAAACAUAAUGUUAACAUAA